UGAAGCUCUGGCUGAACUCAUCUAAGAUUGGUAUAAUACAAUGAAGACAAGUAUGGCCCUAGGUACAAGGAUGUCAUAUAUAAUCAAGAAGCAUUCCACCUUUUC